rnacentral:rRNA from 1 species
UACGGGGGGAGCAAGCGUUGUUCGGAUUUACUGGGCGUAAAGGGCGCGUAGGCGGUCAGCACAAGUCAGUUGUGAAAUCUCCGGGCUUAACUCGGAAAGGUCAACUGAUACUGUGCGACUAGAGUGCAGAAGGGGCAACUGGAAUUCUCGGUGUAGCGGUGAAAUGCGUAGAUAUCGAGAGGAACACCUGCGGCGAAGGCGGGUUGCUGGGCUGACACUGACGCUGAUGCGCGAAAGCUAGGGGAGCGAACAGG